rnacentral:rRNA from 1 species
GACGAACGCUGGCGGCGUGCUUAACACAUGCAAGUCGAACGGAAAGGCCCUGCUUUUGUGGGGUGCUCGAGUGGCGAACGGGUGAGUAACACGUGAGUAACCUGCCCUUGACUUUGGGAUAACUUCAGGAAACUGGGGCUAAUACCGGAUAGGAGCUCCUGCUGCAUGGUGGGGGUUGGAAAGUUUCGGCGGUUGGGGAUGGACUCGCGGCUUAUCAGCUUGUUGGUGGGGUAGUGGCUUACCAAGGCUUUGACGGGUAGCCGGCCUGAGAGGGUGACCGGCCACAUUGGAACUGAGAUACGUCCCAGACUCCUACGGGAGGCAGCAGUGGGGAAUAUUGCACAAUGGGCGGAAGCCUGAUGCAGCAACGCCGCGUGCGGGAUGACGGCCUUCGGGUUGUAAACCGCUUUCGCCUGUGACGAAGCGUGAGUGACGGUAAUGGGUAAAGAAGCACCGGCUAACUACGUG